UCGUGUUUUUACUUCUACUAGCUUACAUUCAACUUUCCUUUUAACAUUUAUACAAGUGUUUAACAUCAAAAGUAGCUUUUUAUCAUAUCUCUUUGUAUUCGGAAAUUAAUCACAAUAGAUGCAGUGGCAAAGCGAGAAAGAAAAACUUCGGUCUCGCUGCGUGAUACAGAAUAAAUACAAUGUUAACCACGACUCCAGUAAGGAUUCCCAUCUCAAUUGGUAAAGCCAGGCAGAGCACGAAAGUCGUCAGUCCAGUUUUGGAUAGCAGAGAUGAUGACAGCAGCCAGUGCAGCCUUCGGGAUAAAUUCAAAGUACUGGGUAAAGAACUGUAGAGCAAGUAUCACCAUCAGACCUGGAAACAAUGACAAUGUAAAAUUAUAUUAACAGUUUUA